rnacentral:rRNA from 1 species
UCACAUUAUGUGACAUAUCAUUCAAGUUUCUGACCUAUCAGCUUUAGACGGUAGGGUAUUGGCCUACCGUGGCUAUGACGGGUAACGGGGAAUUAGGGUUCGAUUCCGGAGAGGGAGCCUGAGAAACGGCUACCACAUCUAAGGAAGGCAGCAGGCGCGCAAAUUACCCAAUCCUAAUACAGGGAGGUAGUGACAAGAAAUAACAAUACAGAACCUUACGGUUUUGUAAUUGGAAUGAGUUAAGUAUAAACCCCUUAACAAGUAUCAAUUGGAGGGCAAGUCUGGUGCCAGCAGCCGCGGUAAUUCCAGCUCCAAUAGCGUAUAUUAAAGUUGUUGCAGUUAAAAAGCUCGUAGUUAAUCUUCUGUUAAUUUUUAUAUAUAAUAUUUCGAUAUUUAUAUAAUAUUAACAUAAUUCAUAUUACUUUUUAGUAUAUGAAACUUUACUUUGAGAAAAUUAGAGUGCUUAAAGCAGGCUAUUGCCUUGAAUACUCCAGCAUGGAAUAAUAUUAAGGAUUUUUAUUCUUCUUAUUGGUUCUAGAAUAAAAAUGAUGAUUAAUAGGAACAGUUGGGGGCAUUUGUAUUUAACAGUCAGAGGUGAAAUUCUUAGAUUUGUUAAAGACAAACUACUGCGAAAGCAUUUGCCAAGGAUGUUUUCAUUAAUCAAGAACGAAAGUUAGGGGAUCGAAGACGAUCAGAUACCGUCGUAGUCUUAACCAUAAACUAUGCCAACUAGAGAUUGGAGGU